AUGACCAGAAUGAGGGGAACACCUGGGUAUAUGGCACCUGAGUGGUUGACAUCUCAAAUCACUGAGAAGGUUGAUGUCUACAGCUUUGGUGUUGUGGUCAUGGAGAUCAUCAGCGGAAGAAAGAACCUGGACUACUCUCAACCAGAAGGAAGCGUACAACUCAUUACCUUGCUUCAGGGGAAGGCGGAGAACGGCCAGCUGGAAGACAUGAUCGAUGGAAACAGCGAUGACAUGCACUUACACAAGGAGGAAGUGGUUGAGGUGAUGAAGCUAGCAAUGUGGUGUUUGCAGAGUGACAAAAACAGAAGGCCUGCCAUGUCACUGGUGGUGAAGGUCAUUGAAGGAGAGAGGGAUGUGGAAGCCAAUUUGGAUUACAACUUCUUUGACCUGAGCCCUGCGAUCUCUGUUCCAGUAUGCCGGUCCACUUCUUCAGCUGUACCUGCCGCAUCAAUUCUCUCAGCCCCCAGAUGA
rnacentral:rRNA from 1 species